CCUGGAAAAUGUGCUUCAAGGAGCUGACUUACUGGAGUGUGAUGCCCUCCUGUUGAAAUAUUGCACCGCUUUCAAUUUGGGUAAUGAAAUGGCAACACUUCAAAACCUCACCAUGACUUUCCAAGACACCAAAUUUCCCUACCUAGAUGGCAGUGUUGAACUCGAUCAUGAAUGAAAUUAGUAAUGGAACUUAAUUCAGGAUUUAAUAGCGACAAACAUUAAUGCAGCGCUACAAUACAUAAUACUGUACAGCCAAUUAUUUUUCCUCAUAAAUACUGUACUGAAAAAUGUUUGGAAUUAAAGUUGUAGAUAUUAAUAA